rnacentral:rRNA from 1 species
UGAGGAAUAUUGGGCAAUGCCCGCAAGGGUGACCCAGCAACGCCGCGUGGAGGAUGAAUGUCGUAAGAUUGUAAACUCCUGUUAGAGGGGAAGAAUAGUACCGGUUGGACCGGUAUAUGACUGUACCCUCAGAGAAAGCCCCGGCUAACUACGUGCCAGCAGCCGCGGUAAUCCGUAGGGGGCAAGCGUUGUCCGGAUUUACUGGGUGUAAAGGGCGCGCAGGCGGGAUAAAAAGUCAGUGGUGGAAUCCUACAGCUUAACUGUAGAACUGCCUUUGAUACUUUUAUUCUUGAGUUCGGGAGAGAGAGACGGAAUUCCAGGUGUAGUGGUGAAAUACGUAGAUAUCUGGAAGAACACCAGUUGCGAAGGCGGUCUCUUGGUCCGACACUGACGCUGAGGCGCGAAAGCGUGGGGAGCAAACA